GACGAACGCUGGCGGCGUGCCUAAUACAUGCAAGUCGAGCGCAGGAAGCUGACGGAACUCUUCGGAGAGAAGGCAGUGGAAUGAGCGGCGGACGGGUGAGUAACACGUAAGGAACCUGCCUCAAGGAUUGGGAUAACUCCGAGAAAUCGGAGCUAAUACCGGAUAGUUCAACGGACCGCAUGGUCCGCUGAUGAAAGGCGCUUCGGCGUCACCUUGAGAUGGACUUGCGGUGCAUUAGCUAGUUGGUGGGGUAACGGCCCACCAAGGCGACGGUGCAUAGCCGACCUGAGAGGGUGAUCGGCCACACUGGGACUGAGACACGGCCCAGACUCCUACGGGAGGCAGCAGUAGGGAAUCUUCCACAAUGGACGAAAGUCUGAUGGAGCGACGCCGCGUGAGUGAUGAAGGUUUUCGGAUCGUAAAACUCUGUUGUAAGGGAAGAACACGUACGAGAGGGAAUGCUCGUACCUCGACGGUACCUUACGAGAAAGCCUCGGCUAACUACGUGCCAGCCGCCGCCAGUAA
rnacentral:rRNA from 1 species